rnacentral:rRNA from 1 species
UACGGAGGGGGCUAGCGUUGUUCGGAAUUACUGGGCGUAAAGGGCGCGUAGGCGGCGCGAUAAGUUGGGCGUGAAAGGCCCGGGCUCAACCCGGGGACUGCGCUUGAUACUGUCGCGCUGUGAGUCCGGGAGAGGAUGGCGGAAUUCCCAGUGUAGAGGUGAAAUUCGUAGAUAUUGGGAAGAACACCGGUGGCGAAGGCGGCCAUCUGGACCGGCACUGACGCUGAGAGACGAAAGCUAGGGGAGCGAAUGGG